AGCAUUAUUUUCCCAGUGUGUGAGAUGAGUGCAAUUGUGUGGUAGUUUGAACAUUCUUUGGCAUUGCUGCUCUUUGGGGUUGGAAUGAAAACUGACCUUUACCAGUCCUGUGGCCACUGCUAAAGAAUUAGUAGUGCCUUCUGUAACUUGGUAAUUGCUCAUGGACUCAUGCAGAGGGAAUGAAAGACAUGGACCUUAACUUCGAGGGACAGAGCCACCUGUGAGGUGGGCAUGGACAAACUAUCUCUCCAGGAGCUGAACAAAGGCACUUUAGUUUACAGUCAAGCAGAGGGACAGGGUCCUCCAAGCAAGCCAUUGAGUAUGAUUAUAAUAAUAAAAUGAAGUAAAAAAAGUAGUUUCC